rnacentral:rRNA from 1 species
UACGUAGGGUGCAAGCGUUAAUCGGAAUUACUGGGCGUAAAGCGUGCGCAGGCGGUUUUGUAAGUCUGUCGUGAAAUCCCCGGGCUCAACCUGGGAAUCGCGAUGAAGACUGCAAGGCUUGAAUCUGGCAGAGGGGGGUAGAAUUCCACGUGUAGCAGUGAAAUGCGUAGAGAUGUGGAGGAACACCGAUGGCGAAGGCAGCCCCCUGGGUCAAGAUUGACGCUCAUGCACGAAAGCGUGGGGAGCAAACAGG